UUAAAGGAAUUGACGGAAGGGCACCACCAGGAGUGGAGCCUGCGGCUUAAUUUGACUCAACACGGGAAAGCUCACCAGGCCCGGACACCAGAAGGAUUGACAGAUUAAGAGCUCUUUCUCGAUUUGGUGGGUGGUGGUGCAUGGCCGUUCUUAGUUGGUGGAGUGAUUUGUCUGGUUAAUUCCGAUAACGAACGAGACUCUGGCCUACUAACUAGUCGACGGGCGCUCUUGUGCAUGAGCCCCGUUCGAGUUACUCUUCUUAGAGGGAUACGCAGCGAUUCUAGCUGCAGGAGAUUGAGCAAUAACAGGUCUGUGAUGCCCUUAGAUGUCCUGGGCCGCACGCGCGCUACACUGAAUGGGUCAGCGGGUGUACCCGGCCCGAGAGGGUCGGGAAAUCUGUUGAAAACCAUUCGUGAUAGGGAUUGGGGCUUGGAAUUGUUGCCCAUGAACGAGGAAUUCCUAGUAAGCGCAAGUCAUCAGCUUGCGUUGAUUAAGUCCCUGCCCUUUGUACACACCGCCCGUCGCUACUACCGAUUGAAUGAUUUAGUGAGGCCUUCGGACUGGCUGUCUUGGAUACGGCGGGCACUCGUGGCCGCGUUCCUUUACGUGCCGGAAAGAUGUCCAAACUUGAUCAUUUACAGGAAGUAAAAGUCGUAACAAGGUUUCC
rnacentral:rRNA from 1 species